rnacentral:rRNA from 1 species
GGCGAACGGGUGAGUAAUGCAUCGGAACGUACCGAGUAAUGGGGGAUAACGCGUCGAAAGAUGUGCUAAUACCGCAUACGCCCUGAGGGGGAAAGUGGGGGAUCGUAAGACCUCACGUUAUUCGAGCGGCCGAUGCCUGAUUAGCUAGUUGGUGGGGUAAAGGCCUACCAAGGCGACGAUCAGUAGCUGGUCUGAGAGGAUGAUCAGCCACACUGGAACUGAGACACGGUCCAGACUCCUACGGGAGGCAGCAGUGGGGAAUUUUGGACAAUGGGCGAAAGCCUGAUCCAGCCAUUCCGCGUGAGUGAAGAAGGCCUUCGGGUUGUAAAGCUCUUUCGGCAGGGAAGAAAUCGCCAUUUCUAAUACAAGUGGUGGAUGACGGUACCUGAAGAAGAAGCACCGGCUAACUACGUGCCAGCAGCCGCGGUAAUACGUAGGGUGCGAGCGUUAAUCGGAAUUACUGGGCGUAAAGCGUGCGCAGGCGGUUUUUUAAGCCAGAUGUGAAAUCCCCGGGCUUAACCUGGGAACUGCGUUUGGAACUGAAAGACUAGAGUGUGUCAGAGGGGGGUGGAAUUCC